rnacentral:rRNA from 1 species
CUACAUGAAGCUGGAGUUACUAGUAAUCGCAGAUCAGAAUGCUGCGGUGAAUGCGUUCCCGGGUCUUGUACACACCGCCCGUCACACCACGGGAGUUGGAGACGCCCGAAGCCGAUUAUCUAACCUUGUGGAAGAAGUCGUCGAAGGUGGAAUCAAUAACUGGGGUGAAGUCGUAACAAGGUAGCCGUAUCGGAAGGUGCGGCUGGAUCACCUCCUUUCUAAGGGGA